CCCUACUAUAUAGUAGGCGAAAAGAGUAGGCGAGCGAAAAAGUACGUUCGAAUCCUCAGUAUUCAUAAAAGAGUAGGCGAGAAUUACCUGGUUGACGAACUAAUUAUCGCGAGAUUUGGACGAUAGUGCGUUCGAAUAUGCCUACUUUCCUACUAUAUAGUAGGCGAAAACAGUACGUGAAAGAAGCAGUACGUUCGAAACAUCAGUAUUCCUAAAAGAGUAGGCGAGAAGUUCCCGGAUGAUCUCCUGCUUUCGCCCAGACAUUUGAGUGCUUUUCAGCUUGUACUCAUCUAUCCCAGGAGGCCACGCGAGAGGAUACGAUAUAAAAAAGAACAAGAAGAAGUAGAUAUUUCAUACUCAAACAUGACGGAAAGGGUGGACGAGAGUGUUUUCAAAUGGACGGAUGAGCACACGCGGCUGCUUAUCCGGUGGAGAGUGGCUCAUGAAGCGCUCUUCACCAGAAAGCGUAAUGCUGCCAUCAAAGGCUUUGAAUCUUUUGUGGAGGAGCAGAGCCUGCAAGGCAGGGUGACGGCGGGGUUUGUUAAAAAAAAAUGGGAAAACCUGAAACAAAAAUACAAAG